AGCUUGCUACCUGACCUAGCGGCGGACGGGUGAGUAAUGCUUAGGAAUCUGCCUAUUAGUGGGGGACAACAUUCCGAAAGGAAUGCUAAUACCGCAUACGCCCUACGGGGGAAAGCAGGGGAUCUUCGGACCUUGCGCUAAUAGAUGAGCCUAAGUCAGAUUAGCUAGUUGGUGGGGUAAAGGCCUACCAAGGCGACGAUCUGUAGCGGGUCUGAGAGGAUGAUCCGCCACACUGGGACUGAGACACGGCCCAGACUCCUACGGGAGGCAGCAGUGGGGAAUAUUGGACAAUGGGCGCAAGCCUGAUCCAGCCAUGCCGCGUGUGUGAAGAAGGCCUUUUGGUUGUAAAGCACUUUAAGCGAGGAGGAGGCUACUUGGAUUAAUACUCUAGGAUAGUGGACGUUACUCGCAGAAUAAGCACCGGCUAACUCUGUGCCAGCAGCCGCGGUAAUACAGAGGGUGCGAGCGUUAAUCGGAUUUACUGGGCGUAAAGCGUGCGUAGGCGGCUUCUUAAGUCGGAUGUGAAAUCCCUGAGCUUAACUUAGGAAUUGCAUUCGAUACUGGGAAGCUAGAGUAUGGGAGAGGAUGGUAGAAUUCCAGGUGUAGCGGUGAAAUGCGUAGAGAUCUGGAGGAAUACCGAUGGCGAAGGCAGCCAUCUGGCCUAAUACUGACGCUGAGGUACGAAAGCAUGGGGAGCAAACAGGAUUAGAUACCCUGGUAGUCCAUGCCGUAAACGAUGUCUACUAGCCGUUGGGGCCUUUGAGGCUUUAGUGGCGCAGCUAACGCGA
rnacentral:rRNA from 1 species